UUCCUGGAGUUGUGUCCUCAUUACCCAGGAGGCUACUUUAUCCUUGCACGUGUAGGUCUACGUUUUUAUGUCUACCCCCCUCCCCGCCUUAGUACAGAGAGAGGAGGAAAAAAUAAAGUACGUUUACAAUCCCCCGCCUCUUCUACAGUAGGCUAUUUCUACCACAUUUAGGCUACACUACCACUUCCUCAUGUUCUGCGGCGCCGGGCUGCUGCUGACCGGCUCCAGCCAUGUCCAAAGAUAAUUUUGCCGCCGGCGGCAAUGACGGGACCGCAGACAAACGAACAGGUACUGGUAGACCUACUUGUACCGCGUUCAAGACAACUUGGAACUCGGAAACUGAGCUCUGGGUUUCACGUUUGAAAAGGAUCAGAAUCAACCAAUAGGAACAUCUACGCAAAAACCGUACGCAAAUUCUCACUUUAGAGGUUCUGAUCUUUCCGAGUUGUCUUGAAAGCACCACGUGUGAAUUCUCUAGACUAUGAGGUGAUAAUAGUUUAUUGUAAUCGAUGCUAUGCGCCGUUUGGGAUUUGAGGGGAGCUGUUUCUUUCGCUUUGAAAACAAUUCUGGUUGUUCCCCAAAAUGUAGGUCAGUAGAUCAGUGGAGCAAACGCACACUCGAGGAAGUCCUGGGACGCGCUCGUGGAAAUUUGAUAAUUUUGGCCAUAUUUGUGGCAUUCUACCAUGUAAUUUCGCAGGUAGGAUUUGGUGUGAUUUUAUUACAAUAUGUGCAUGGUGGAAUUGUAUUUAUGGUAAACCUGGUGUAAAACUAUUCAGCUGCCUUUUCAAUGGCGGUCAAUAGAUUCAUGUUCAUCCCUUUGGUAUUUUUGCUUAGACUAAUAGUCUAUGUCGGUUAGCCUGUUAAUCAAAUAAAAUGGCACCAAUCACGUAAUUUAUGCGUGGAUAAUGCUUGCACCAUUUCCUGUUCAGUCGCACGUAUUGCCUAAAUUGUGUUUUAUAUAUGUGUUUGGAUAGCCUAAAGUCAUAGCCUAUUUUACAGGUUUUCAUAGUUGUAGAAUUUCAAUGUAUCGCGGCAAGUUUGUACUUUUGGUGACGAGAAUUUCCGACGUCUAAAGCAUUCUGAUGCAUUGCCACAUGUUCGUAAACUGAUCUCCAUGACCACAUUGUGAUUUUGGCGAUGCAUGGUAAAAUGUUAAAGAAUAUUUCCAAGAAUUGGGUUACGAAACAGUUUCCAAAUUCUUAAAGUGGGUGGGUGGAUUUAUUGGAACGCAGCCCAAAACAAUUAUUGUUCCUUCCUGAACGUGCAAGCUAGGCUAAUAUUCUGCAUUCAUGCUUAAUAACGCAAUUUCCCAUUCUGAAAUUUGACCAUAACAUCCAAUACCGUACGUGUAAUGAAUGUAGUUGAAUAUGGUCACCCAGGACGCUCCCUUGAAAAUAAUACAUUAUUUGCAGCAUAAAACAUGAGUAAAAAAUGUAUAGGCCUGCCUGACACAUUUUAAUUGAGCCUAUAUGCUACAUCAAAUAGGCUAGCUGCGCUUUGGCCAAUAUGACUGUAGUAACUUGUUUAGGCUAUGUAGGCUAGUGUUCAGUUAUUUCGUAAAACACCAGAGCCUAUAAUUUGAUAACUUUUCAAACACAAGCUGCACGUGUCAAAUAUGAGGCAAACAUUUUGACAUUGGUUGACAAUUCUUAAUGGUGUAGUAGGCUUAACACUCAAUUUCUGUAACAAUAUUUAUUUAUUCCUGACUUAAUAAUGAUUGCACUUAAAGUAGUACCAGACCUAAAGGUGUUCUAGGAUGACAAACGUUACACAGGAAUGGAUAAAGAGAAUGGACAGAGGAAAUAAUGUAUUACAUAGCACUCUGUUUGGCAACCAAUUGUUAAAACCGUAUUGCCAACAGUCAACUGUACUUCACCUGAAUAGCAUAGAUUCCUCCAUUACAAGAUGUAUUCCCUCUGUUUUGUAUAUUGAAUAAACAAAAUGUAUUCUACUGUCAGCCCUCUUUCUUAAUAUUGUACCUCAUCUCAUGUAUGCAUGUGUCCAACAAGGUAUUGCCAUUUUGCCUGGCCCAUAGUAUUAUUCAAAACCAGUGCAGUGGUUGGUGUGGGGGUGGGGGCGAUUCCUGUGGGAGUGAAGGGGAAUGGCUCUCAGGUGAAGUAGUCAGAUUGGCAAGUGUGACCGGUGUAGAGUUGCCUUUCUUUUCUUGACUUAAAAGACAGCCAAAGGAUUGGAUCUAUUUUCAGAUAAGAAAAACAAGCUUCCUUAAAUUAAGUGACGUGUAAAGCUCAGAUUCCUCUGAAAGAAAAUGUGCAAACACAAGGAGGUAUGAUUAGCCAUUAAUGAUUAACCCAUAAUUCAUUCUAGGCUUUUACAUGUAAGAUUGAUGAAGAGGUUUGUGCAGGACAACUUCAAUGGAACUUCCCUUUUUCCAUGAGGGGGCGGGGUUAUGAUGGGGAGAUGAGAAUAAAGUGCAUAAUGUAAACCUGGACACUAAUAACUAGUGUAAACCUGGACACUUACCUAAUAACUAUCAGGUAAUAAACUACAUGCUUUUUUCCAGUGAAUAUAAUAGGGAAUCUGAACUCGGAUACUCACCACUGACCAAUACUGCCUUAACUAGAUACUGCCAUAACGUCAUACUGCCUUAACUAGAUACUGCCAUAACUUCAUACUGCCUUAAUUAGAUACUGCCAUAAUGGCAUACAGCUUUAACUAGAUACUGCCAUAACAUCAUACUGCUGUGCUGUCUAAUCAACUUUUAGACAUGAAUGUUCUAGUUGUACCAUAGACCCUAUCGACACACUGGGGUUCUUGUGUGAGAGCGACAGGUGAGUAGUGAGGGAUAGGGGAGGUUGAUUAUGAGGCACCAGCACCAGUAGAACCAGCCACAGGAAGCUCAUCUGAUGAGGGAGAGUCCUUUUGAGGGUCCAUUUAUAUGGCUGUGACUGCCAGGGUCUUCAUCAUUAUUAUCAUCAGCUGAAGACUUGGACCAAUGGAGUAGUGCGAUCCUCACCACAUUUAUCCAGCCAGGAGAGAGCAUCAUCCAUGGAAGGUUCCGUGGCUGCGUUAUCGAGCUCCAGUGCACAGCCUUCUCACUCCGUCACACAGGCCUCACUUGCCAUACAGUCAUCUCUUAGGAAGCUAGGACCAGAAGUGUAAUCAAGGUGAUUCAAUUGACCUGGUUUCUGCACCACCCACUCAUGUCCUGCACAACCAGUGAACUUGUUGAUGUCUGGUUCUCAGUUGUCAGUGUGUUUGCGUUUCCCUCUGCAUCUCCUAUUGGCGUCAAGAACUGGAUCAACAUUUAAGAAGAGUACUGUGAAUUUUUACUUUCAGAGAACAGAAAUGAGUUUCUGCUUGUAUCCCAAUCCCCCCAAGACACACACACCCUAAGGGGUCGGAAGCACUCUGAGCAUUUAAGGGUUAACUGCUUUGCUCAGUCACAACAGCAGGAUAUGACAUGGAGAGAGGCUGGCCUAGCCAGGAAAUGACUGCUGCGUAUUUACCAGGGGUUGCUCCGGUCCCCUGAUGAACUUUGAUCCAAACUGGGUCAACGAAACGGACGUGUAGCACAACCAUUUCCCCACACUACCUAAUUGUAUUUGAUAUGACAUUGUCUUCCCCUUAAGUUAGUUACUGCAAAAUAGGGAUCUUCACUCUUCCCUUUAGAAUUGUGUUGGAUUUUAUGAAAUGUAUGAUGUUCUAAUUUAUAUACAUUUUUAGUUAAUAAAUGUUAAUGUACAUUCUAAAUUUACCUCAACCCUGAGCUGCUCACUGUCAUAGUCAAACAUCCAAAAGCCACAAUGUUUCUACUUGAUUGGGCAACAAACUUAGUCAGAUUUGUCUUAACUAUUUUCAUGAAAAUUGAAAAAUAAAUAAAUAAAGAUUAACCCUACAUGAUGAUACAACUACAGAAUUAGCUAAAUGAUUACAAUUACCAUAGAUCCACUACCAUCUCUACCUGUGGAAUAUUUCCACUUGUUUUGCUUUUAUGCUACUACAGUUUCUCAUGCUUGGUGAGAUGCCUGCAGGAAAAGGAAGAGAGAGGGCAGGGCUGGAAUAUUUUCUGCAUUCCACCUCUAUCAGAAAUGACCCCAACAUUUCUAGACAUAGCCAAGGACCCUUGCAGUUAGGACAAACCAAUAGCCUUCCCGUUUCUCGGCCUGAUGUCAUAACGCCCCACCUGGCAGGAGCCAUGCCUGAUGUCAUAACCCCCCACCUGGCAGGAGCCAUGCCAAUCCAAGAGCUGUCUAGGAAACGGAAGGGGGAUAUAGACAACAGGGAAAAUGGUGAUGCUCAAAUAGAGGAGGAACAGAGCAGAUCGGAAGAUGAUGAUCAACAGGUGAAAAUUAAAUGCUUCAGGGAGCCACACAGCCAAAUUGAAAAGCGGCGAAGGGACAAAAUGAACACCCUUAUCGACGAGCUGUCAGCCAUGAUCCCCUCCUGUAACCCCAUGGCCAGAAAGCUUGACAAACUCACUGUGCUGCGAAUGGCUGUGCAGCACCUCAAAGCCCUGAAAGCAGGUGCUAGCAGUUCCUUUACUGAUGUUAACUACAAACGCAAGCCUUCGUUUCUGCCUCAGGAUGAUCUCAAGCACCUGGUGCUCACGGCUGCAGAUGGGUUCCUGUUCGUGGUGAGUUGUGACAGGGGGAAGAUCCUCUUUACCUCAGAAUCCGUCUCCAAGUUCCUCAACUACAGUCGGUUGGAACUAAUUGGACAGAGUCUUUUUGAUUAUGUCCACCCGAAGGACAUUAGUAAAGUGAAAGAGCAGCUGUCAGCCUCAGGAUUAUACCCUCGCGAACGGCUCAUAGAUGCCAAAAGUUCUCCCGGUUCUUUAGCAGGGUUACAGGUGCAGGACCUUCCUGUGGGAGCAGUUCAACUGUGUACAGGGGCACGGCGCUCCUUCUUCUGCCGCAUGAAGCACAGCAGAACAGUUAUGAAGACAGAAGACAAAACCAUCCAGCCCAGCAGCUCCAAGAAAAAGGAGUCUCAACGAUACUGCACUGUCCAUUGCACUGGUUACAUGCGGAGUUGGCCUUCCACCCAGCUGGAUGCUGAGAGUGACGAUAACGAGUUUACCCAUCUGUCCUGCCUGGUCGCUGUGUGCCGUGUUCACCCUAACAAUGCCUGUCAGCCCUCACUAGAGGUCAAGGUCAAACCCACCCAGUUUGUCACUCGCUUUGCAAUUGACGGCAAGUUCACCUUCGUGGACCAACAAGCCACUACUGUUCUGGGCUACUUGCCACAGGAACUACUGGGGACGUCUUGUUAUGAGUACUUCCACCAGGACGACCUGCGACCCCUCGCAGAGACACACAGGAAAGUUCUCCGCAGUAAAGAGAAGAUUGAGACCAGCUGCUACAAGUUCAAAACAAAAGUUGGCUCCUUCGUCAUGCUUCAAAGUCAGUGGUUUAGUUUUAUAAACCCGUGGACCAAAGAAAUUGAGUUUAUUGUGUCAACAAACCGAGUUUUGGGACCCGGUCACACAGAAGCUGAACAGCCGAGCAGCUCCAAGCUGUUGGACGAAGAGAGCAAACAUACUAUCCUUAUCCCUGGCAUCUCCACUGGCAUGGCCACUAUGAUCUACGCUGGCAGCAUAGGGACCCAGAUAGCAAACGAGCUCUUGGACUCCAACAGUCCUGCUUUCUUUCAACGCCAAAAUGUGCAGGGUAAAUUUUUCUCCAUCGAGUGAAACAUCCAGUCCCUUCUGUCCACCUCAGGACAGGUCUCCAAUGGUCUCCUCUCAUGCCAAAAUGUCAAAUGAGGAGGUGACUGAUACAGUGAGCAAGUCUGGAUCAGAGUCUGCUUCAAAGGGGGCCACAUACGCUGGCAGCAACACACAUAUGGACACAGCCCAUUCUCCUCCAGGAGAGAGCUCCCAGAUGGACCUGGACAGCAUGGUGGGACCAGGCCUCGGUAUCCUGAGCAACGACGAGGCUGCCAUGGCCGUGAUCAUGAGCCUGCUGGAGACUGAUGCCAACCUGGGGGACGCAGUAGACUUUGACAACAUGCACUGGUCUCACUAGCAUAGAUUCAAAUGCCAUGAAUUCAGGAGAAGAAUUUAGAUUCUAAUUCAAGAAUUGAAAAAUUAUAUUUAUUCUUAUCUACAUUACUUCAUUUAUUUAUUUAAGCAUUUUCAAAGAGGAUUUCGUUCAAUUCCUGAAUUGGGAUUUUAAUUCACUUCCAGAAUUGAAAUGGAAUUGACCCCCAACUCCAUCCGUCCUUAACUCUGUAGUUUAUGGUUAGACGAACUCCAUCCAGGGACUAUUUUCAUGUGCUCCGCUACCAAGGAAACAGAUUUAUAUGCUUCUGAGGGACUUCUACAGCUCUGUUUAAGUUUCAGCAAGAGAAAUCUAGCCUGCUCUAAAACCAGCUAACUCUUUGGUGGCUUACACAGCUGGUUCAAUUGGUGGGGAUUUUUUUGAUCAAUGUUUCAAUGUAACUGAAUGUGUACUAAAACCACCCGAGUUUGCCUAUAUCUGGGGGGGUCACAGAUCGAUAGCAGUUCGGUACUCUCAGGGUUCCCGCCUGUGUGAAAGUGAUCAACUCAAAUUCCAAGGUAGUGGACGGAGGCAUAGGUUAAUCAAUUACAAAGUAUAUUAACUCUGAACACUGAUCACUUGUGUGAAUAACUUGAAAUGAAACAUUACAAACGUGUCUUCACUCAAAUUGUCAUUGUCUAUUAUUACAAAGUGAAAUUGUUCUGUCUUUUUGCUCUUGCAUUGUAAGCUUCUGUGUAGGUGUCUAUUUUAAAGACACCAGCAUUCCUUUUUCUGAAGUCACUCAAGAGGUAGAGCUGCUUCUCUUGAAAUGUUUUUAUUUACACUGAAACAGAACACCCUUAAGAUGCACCUGCAGGGAUGUAAUGGAGGCUAAACGCACAGAAACAACUUUUUAUUUUGUUGAAAGCAUUUACACAUUUAUUCCGCAACGUUGGCGUUGUUAGCAAUAGCAUGUGCUUUGCCUAUCCUAGAGGAACACAAUGGAAAUAAGCUCUCGGGCUUGAUUGUGUUUUGUCCUCAAUCUGUUCUUCAACUUUUUAAUGAUCAAAUAAAAUACUCACUGCCCGUCAUCACAACCAGCAUUCAGGUCUUACCCAGUUUAAUCCUUUUCCACUACAUCCCUGUGCAUCUGCCUUAUACAAACACAUCCUAGUUUGUUUGAAAUGUGGAGGUGUGAAACUAAUCCAGACAAGGAAAAUAAUGCUUGCAAACAACCUUUUGAUCCUCGCUUCAGCAAACUAUUGCGAAAGCCUCUUUUAGUCCAAGAACUAAUCUCAAUACCGUGUCUGCCUUUGCUAUGAACAGAGCAUUACUUUCUCUCUGUGUGAAGUUUGCACACCUUCCAAAUACUUAAAAUCCAAGUGCUUGAAAAUAAAUGAAGUCUGUGUUGCUGGAAUUCAAUCUAAAUGCACUGUACGUUUUGUUCUGCAAUUUUGGUUGUGGAACAAAAUGAGGGACAAAAGGGAGAAAUAUCAGUGAAUCCGUAAUGACUUGAAUUGUAAUGCCUGUGUGCACUCCUGCAGUGUUGAUUGUUGUUGAACGUUUUGGGUGAGGGAAGAUCAAGUAAUCUGGCACAGAAAAGCAAAUGAAUAAACUGCAUGUCAAACGUU